UCGAGAAUCUUCGGCAAUGGGGGAAACCCUGACCGAGCGACGCCGCGUGCGAGAUGAAGGCCUUCGGGUUGUAAAUCGCUGUCAGUGGGGAGGAAAUGCUGGUGGGUUCUCCUGCCAGUUUGACCUAUCCGCAGAGGAAGGACGGGCUAAGUUCGUGCCAGCAGCCGCGGUAAGACGAACCGUCCAAACGUUAUUCGGAAUCACUGGGCUUAAAGGGUGCGUAGGCGGUCCGGGAAGUUGGGUGUGAAAUCCCUCGGCUCAACCGAGGAAUUGCGUCCAAAACUGCCGGACUCGAGGGAGACAUAGGUGAGCGGAACUUAGGGUGGAGCGGUGAAAUGCGUUGAGAUCCUAAGGAACACCAGUAGCGAAAGCGGCUCACUGGGUCUCUUCUGACGCUGAUGCACGAAAGCUAGGGGAGCGAAGA
rnacentral:rRNA from 1 species